GUACUAGCUUCGGCUGCACACAUACUAAAAUUGGAACAAUCCAGAGAAGAUUAGACUGGCUCCCGUGCAAGGAUUUCACACAAAUUCAUGAGGCAUUCCUCAUUUUU